rnacentral:rRNA from 1 species
UACGUAGGGCGCAAGCGUUGUCCGGAAUUAUUGGGCGUAAAGAGCUCGUAGGCGGUUUGUCGCGUCUGCUGUGAAAUCCCGAGGCUCAACCUCGGGCUUGCAGUGGGUACGGGCAGACUAGAGUGCGGUAGGGGGAGACUGGAAUUCCUGGUGUAGCGGUGGAAUGCGCAGAUAUCAGGAGGAACACCGAUGGCGAAGGCAGGUCUCUGGGCCGCAAC